GCGGUCCUACGGGACGCAGCAGGGGGGAAUAUUGCACAAUGGGCGAAAGCCUGAUGCAGCAACGCCGCGUGAAGGAAGACGGUUUUCGGAUUGUAAACUUCUAUCAAUAGGGAAGAAAGAAAUGACGGUACCUAAAUAAGAAGCCCCGGCUAACUACGUGCCAGCAGCCGCGGUAAUACGUAGGGGGCAAGCGUUAUCCGGAAUUACUGGGUGUAAAGGGAGCGUAGACGGCUUGGCAAGCCAGAUGUGAAAG
rnacentral:rRNA from 1 species